GACGGAGGAUGCAAGCGUUAUCCGGAAUUAUUGGGCGUAAAGCGUCCGCAGGUGGCUGUUCAAGUCUGCUGUCAAAGCGCAGAGCUUAACUCUGUACAGGCGGUGGAAACUGAAGAGCUAGAGUAUGGUAGGGGUAGAGGGAAUUCCCGGUGUAGCGGUGAAAUGCGUAGAUAUCGGGAAGAACACCAGUGGCGAAAGCGCUCUACUGGGCCAUAACUGACACUGAGGGACGAAAGCUGGGGGAGCGAAAGGG
rnacentral:rRNA from 1 species